UACGAAGGGUGCAAGCGUUAAUCGGAAUUACUGGGCGUAAAGGGCUCGUAGGCGGCCAACUAAGUCAGACGUGAAAUCCCUCGGCUUAACCGGGGAACUGCGUCUGAUACUGGAUGGCUGGAGGUUGGGAGAGGGAUGCGGAAUUCCAGGUGUAGCGGUGAAAUGCGUAGAUAUCUGGAGGAACACCGGUGGCGAAGGCGGCAUCCUGGACCAAUUCUGACGCUGAGGAGCGAAAGCCAGGGGAGCAAACGGG
rnacentral:rRNA from 1 species